GUGCAUUACUGGAGGUCGAAGAGGUAACUGAUAUUCUGUAACAAGGGAAGGGGCCAGGGUGCCCACUAUCAUCAUUGGAGGAAAAUAUAUAUGACUCCAGAUGUCCAAUUCAAUCCUUAUUUGGAUGUGGGGUCCUCCAAAGGACAGUUCUGUAAGCAGGCUAGCAUGCACCCAAAUAGGGUGAGAAACUAUACUGAAAAUAUGCUCUGCUCACCACAUCUGAGGACUUUCUGCCCUUCCCAUGCUUUGAUGAACGUCGUGGAUCUGAAGGAGGAUGUGAAACCUCUUGCAACAGGGCCAGGGAAGGAGAUAUGGAGACCUGAAAAAAUGCCUUUGAUCCAAAAUGGAUCCUGGAUGAUUCAGACUUCAUUACUAAGUCAGUGUUCCUCACCUGUAGUUCUCCUGAGUCCUGCAUGCAGGGAGUUCAUGUGACUGAUGCCCAGAUCCCAGGAUUGCGCCUCACACUGCCAAAUAGAUCAGACAAGAACAGGAGGCACUGAACAAUCUAUAUAGUUGUAUGAUGGGAGCUAUGAGGAUCUGAGCUGCUCCGAUCUUCACUUUGAAGGAGCAGGGGAACGGAGAAGAAAAGAGCCUCACUCCACACUGCUCUCCAGCUCACAUUCCCAGCAGCAUCCAGAAGACGAGGGAGAGAGAAAUGAGAAAUACCCCAUUCCACUCAGAAACUAGGAAGAAGGGAUAAUAGAGGGGGAAGCAACAGUCUCACAGCCAGUUACUUAUCCAGUGCGUCAUCAUCAUGUAUUAAUGCAACAUUAACAAAUGCAACAGCAAGGCUUUGUACCAUUACUACUUUGUGGCUCCCACAAAGCCAUUAAAAGACCAUGCAGGUCUUCAGCUCUUAAAGGUACAUACCACUAAUUUGAUGUUACAGACCUGUGAAAGGAAUUUAAGUACUUCUAUUGCUAAUCAAAUCCAGACUAUACACAUUGUAUGGAAAUAACUUUUAAUUUAAAAAAACUUGCAUUGAAGAUUAUUGUAUCAGACAGAGGCAAAAUUUGAGUUUAAUUUGCUGGACAAAUCAGUGUUAAAAAAAAGAUUUAAAAUAAAUCAGAAUGUGCAAUAAACUACAACGUAGCAUAGGUAGUAGUGUUGAAACUUGACUGAACUUUUUUCUGAGGUCCAGCGUAUAUUUCCAGUCAGUCAAUCUGACAGGAAAAAAAUUAAGUUUGACACUACAAACGGGUCAUCUGUCAGUACUGGAUAUUACAAGCUGAGGAAAAAUGUUGUACAAGAACAGAGACUCCUAUAUAGAUGCCUUCAACUGUUGUACACAGAAAAACUUCCUGCUGACAGUGGUUUAAACAUAUGUUCUACUGGUGUCGAAUUAUUGUUCUGCUACAAGAGUACUGCUAGAUCAUCAAUUCUUGUAUGCGUCAUCUUCUGUUAGCAUCACUUGAGGAUGCAGACAAAUUCUAAAUACUGUAAUUCAGAAUGUAUGAGUUUAAACAAUUUGCCUUUAUUUUCUUAGAGUAUAAUGGCUGGGAAUUUAAAAGUUAAUCUGUAUUUAGAAACAUUAUGAAAGGUUUUUUAAAGCCCUUCUGAUGUCCUUAUUAACAAUGUUUUCCCUUCUGGUUAGUCACUCUGCUUUUGCAUACUUGGCAGAACCUUGCAAGGUAUCACUUAGAAAUCGUAACUACACUUGGUAAGAUAUUACAGCACACAGUUCUAAGCAGCAUUAGCUACUGCAGGUCUAGGAGUCAGGUCUCCAAAUAUCUGAUGAUCCAAAAUGAAAUUCAGAGCUGCAUCUUCAUUUAAUUCAAUCUUCAUUUCCUCACCACUCCUAGGCUUCUCUGCUCCUCAUGUGACUGAAAUAGAAAACUGUCUAUCUUUCGUAUAGUAGAGAAAUCAACUAUGGAAAUAAAUAUAGUGGUAUA